rnacentral:rRNA from 1 species
UGGGGAAUAUUGCACAAUGGGCGAAAGCCUGAUGCAGCGACGCCGCGUGAGGGAUGACGGCCUUCGGGUUGUAAACCUCUUUCAGUAGGGAAGAAGCCCUCUUUGGGGGUGACGGUACUUGCAGAAGAAGCGCCGGCUAACUACGUGCCAGCAGCCGCGGUAAUACGUAGGGCGCAAGCGUUAUCCGGAAUUAUUGGGCGUAAAGAGCUCGUAGGCGGUUUGUCGCGUCUGCUGUGAAAGACCGGGGCUCAACUCCGGUUCUGCAGUGGGUACGGGCAGACUAGAGUGCAGUAGGGGAGACUGGAAUUCCUGGUGUAGCGGUGAAAUGCGCAGAUAUCAGGAGGAACACCGAUGGCGAAGGCAGGUCUCUGGGCUGUAACUGACGCUGAGGAGCGAAAGCAUGGGGAGCGAACAGG